CUUUGAAACAAUACUAUAAUAACUUGGGAACAUGCUCUGAAUGUGCUGCUUUGUUAUCAGCGAGCAGCUGUUCUGUUGUGAUUCACAAAUCCUCAUCAGAUGAGGUGGAGCCCAGCAUAGACUGGUGUGGUCAGUUCAGUUAUAAAGCACUUGCUCGAGGCCAGGGACUGGGAGAGUUGCAGUCUCAGAGGGUCAGCACUGCAGAGAGAGUUUGAUGUUGUAAUAAAAAGGCUGUGUUUCAAAGGUUCAAAUAUUAAAGCUUUGCGUGAUUCAAUCUAAAGAGACAAAGUACCAUGGCUUUAUGUGUCACAACUAGGGCUAAAAUAUCCAGGGAAAUUCCACGGCUGGAGAAGUACAGAUGUAAUCAGAUACCAAGGAAAACAUCAGCAUAUAGCUAUCUGUCAUGCCUGGUUAAAAUGUGAAAUAAGUAACAGUGGGACACAUCAUCAGACAAGAGGCCAAAGAAUAACAGGAGAAGUGUGUCGCCUCUCAUGCUGAGAAAACAAGCUGAACCCAGCCUCUUGGUAUGUUUAAAUCACAGCGUUUCCAUGCAGAGGCAAGUAUGAACUGUUCCCUUGAAAAUCUUUAGUACAGCAAUCACAUAGUCCUUCCACCUCC
rnacentral:lncRNA from 1 species